rnacentral:rRNA from 1 species
GGGUCAGUAGGUUGGUCGUGCCACCGGUACGUACUGGUCUCACUGAUUCCUCCUUCCUGAAGAACCGUAAUGCCAUUAAUUUGGUGUUGCGGGGAAACAGGACUGUUACUUUGAAAAAAUUAGAGUGUUUAAAGCAAGCUAACGCUUGAAUACAUUAGCAUGGAAUAAUGAAAUAGGACGAUCGAUCCUAUUUUGCUGGUCUCUAGGAUUGACGUA